ACAGUCUUGAGUGUCACAGAUAAUUGCCUCUGCUAUUUGGGUAACUUAGACUUGGGAGCGCAGAAUUGCUGCCAACUUCCUGAUUAUUCACCAUUUUCCUCUUGCAGUUGAGGACUUUCAUGCUGUGUUUCUGCUGAAAUGCUUGAAAUUCAGCAGGUCCAUUCUAAUUCCUAGCAGAUUCCUAGAAACUGGAUAUAAGCAAGCAUACAGUGUACGUGACCUCUGGAUGCCAAGGGAGCCUUGCUAUGUGAAAGGUAGAUGCCAGAGAGCUAACUUUUCCAAAGACGAGCAUAAAUCAGAAAUGAGUUUGCUAAUCUCCCAGGAGAUGCGAUAGGUUUCAUAGGGUAUUGGAAAAUUUGGUUAAGAUACUGUACUCUCUGCAAUAAAUAUCUUUUUUCUUUUCCUCCCUACAACCCCAGUCAUCCACUCACAGUUUUCUGUAACCCUUUAAAAAAAAAAAAAAA